rfam:Myotis lucifugus cont2.53966, whole genome shotgun sequence.
GGCGAUUCUCAGGUGAUGCACCCCAGAAUCGGGCUUCCUCCUCUCUGGUUCCGGGUGCAUCACCCGAGAACUGCA